rnacentral:rRNA from 1 species
AUGAACACACAGGAGAUCUCUUGUUUGUUGAAGCAAAAGGGCCCAAGUGAACCUGAGUUUGCUUUGGACAAUGGUAAUGAGAGGCAUGAGUAUUUCAUGGAGACAAACCAAGAGCAAGAGCACAUUGAGCAGAUGAUGGAGCAGAAAAGAAAUGAAGAAAUUCAGAGGUACAGGAGUAAUAUGAUACAAAGAGAGAAGUACAAGGCAGCAAAAAGAAAACUCCCACAGCUGCUUGCUGAGGAGUUCACUGAUAGUGAAAGUGAGGAUGAAGAUCUUGAAGAUGAGGACAUAUUGGCUAGGUUGGAGGCAAUGAAGAGGCAUAGGGAUGAUCCACUACAUCACUUUGAAGGAGACACUGAUGUAGAAGAGCUAUAUGGACCAGACGAUGAGGAGGAGAAUGAAGAAAGAGAUGAAGAGGAAGAACAAGAGGAGCCACUAGAUGAGGGCUUGAGAGGAGGAAGCAGUGUAGGAGGAAGCAGUUUAGGAGGUAGCAGCAGCACAGGAGGAAGUAAGAGGAGGGGGAAGGGGCCAACAACAAGAUCCCAUGCAAGUUUGGAUCAAAUCAUAGAGCAAGACUGGGCACCUUCAUCUGAUGAGGAGAGCAACCCAGGUGACUUAAGUCAGGAAGAGAAUGAUUGUGCUCAGCUUCCACCAUUUAAGCUACCAAAUGUAGGAAGAGCAGGGCCAGAAAGAAUAAAGUUAGGGUUUGGUAUGAUGAGGAGAGGGAAAACCCACAAGAACAAUUUGUCAAGCAAAUUUGUUUCCUAG